UAUUUGUCCAUUUGUUAUCUGGACUCUGUGUGACUGGGAGCUUCAUAAUAUUGAACUGCUUUCCCAGUCAUUUUGGUCCUUUGCCUGCUUUUAUAUUCAAUGAGCUUUUUACACAAUUUUGGGAUUAUCUGUAAAAAACAUCUGGCACUCGAUAUUACCCCUGAGGAAGUCCCAGUUAGGGACGAAACGCGUUGGGUUGUGUUCGAGUACUGUAUUCCAUCUGUAUUCUAUACUACUAAGGAAGAUUUACCACGAAUCUCAAGUUUCACUUGAAUUUUCCAUCUGACAGAAACUGUUUGUAUACAUUGUCU